AGGGUGUAAACGCUGCGGGCUUGGUGUUGGGGGUCCUUUGAGGGCGCCCAGUGCCGGAGAGAAGUUGUUAAGCCUGCUGCUUGGGGAGUACGUCCGCAAGGCUGAAACUUAAAGGAAUUGGCGGGGGAGCACCGCAACGGGAGGAGCGUGCGGUUCAAUUGGAUUCAACGCCGGAAAUCUUACCGGGACCGACAGCAACAUGAAGGCCAAGCUGAAGACUUUGCCGGAUUAGCUGAGAGGAGGUGCAUGGCGUAGUCGUGU
rnacentral:rRNA from 1 species